AACGAACGCUGGCGGCAGGCUUAACACAUGCAAGUCGAACGCAUCCUUCGGGGUGAGUGGCAGACGGGUGAGUAACGCGUGGGAACGUGCCCUUCAGUUCGGGAUAACCCAGGGAAACUUGGGCUAAUACCGGAUACGUGCGAGAGCAGAAAGAUUUAUCGCUGAAGGAUCGGCCCGCGUCUGAUUAGCUAGUUGGUGGGGUAAUGGCCCACCAAGGCGACGAUCAGUAGCUGGUCUGGGAGGAUGAUCGGCCACACUGGGACUGAGACACGGCCCAGACUCCUACGGGAGGCAGCAGUGGGGAAUAUUGGACAAUGGGCGAAAGCCUGAUCCAGCAAUGCCGCGUGAGUGAUGAAGGCCUUAGGGUUGUAAAGCUCUUUUACCCGGGAUGAUAAUGACAGUACCGGGAGAAUAAGCUCCGGCUAACUCCGUGCCAGCCGCCGCCGUAA
rnacentral:rRNA from 1 species